CCUACGGGAGGCAGCAGUGAGGAAUUUUGCGCAAUGGGGGAAACCCUGACGCAGCAACGCCGCGUGAGUGAUGAAGGCUUUCGGGUCGUAAAGCUCUGUCAAGUGGGAAGAAGUUAUGUAAUGUGAAUAAUAUUGCAUAUUGACGGUACCACUGAAGGAAGCACCGGCUAACUCCGUGCCAGCAGCCGCGGUAAUACGGAGGGUGCAAGCGUUAUUCGGAUUUACUGGGCGUAAAGGGCGCGUAGGCGGCUUGAUAAGUCAGUCGUGAAAGCCCGGGGCUCAACCCCGGAAGUGCGAUUGAAACUAUCAGGCUUGAGUAUGGUAGAGGGAAGUGGAAUUCCUGGUGUAGCGGUGAAAUGCGUAGAUAUCAGGAGGAACACCGGUGGCGAAGGCGACUUCCUGGACCAAUACUGACGCUGAUGCGCGAAGGUGUGGGUAGCAAACAGGAUUAGAUACCCGAGUAGUC
rnacentral:rRNA from 1 species